rnacentral:lncRNA from 10 species
CUGUGACCGUCCCCACAGGCCCGUGAGGCUGAGCUUGGCACUGCCCAAGACCACACAGUCCAUGCGCAGUGGAGCUGGGGUCCAGGCUGCCCACCAGGGCAGUGACUGCAAUGGUGGCAGCAGGGGACAGUCACCAUGGACCCCUCCCCUCCCAUGGCUUUGAGCCCAUGAGAUGGCCUUGGACAAAGCGGCAAUGGGCCCUUCCUGAGACACAGUGCGGCCAUCUACUGGGAAACUGCCCAGUGUGACUCUGAUGACUGUGAUGUGAAUCCCACAGCAAAGUUGAGCAGUGCGCAACCUGGGCUACUGCACCUGGCAGCCCUGGCUCCUCCUCCUCUGCCUCUUCCUGCUCCUUCAUUCUCCCCCAGAGCUCUAAUUGUCACUGAGAUUUUAUGUUUCGUUUAACAAAUGACUGUCUCCCCGCUUGAACAGAACCUCCAUGGGGGGAGGGAAGAGUGUCUGUUGUAUAA